CUCCACUUUUUCAGAAGACUGUGGGAUUGUCUGCAAAGAGAAAAAUCUAGAUGUUUUUACUUUUGAUAGUUUUUCUCAUAGCUAACCACAUUUCUUUCUAGAGUUGUCCCAUUUUAAAUACUCUGAGUGUUUAUGAAACCAUUAAAGAUGAUAUCAAGAUGAAAUCUGCAUUCUGACACCUUAUGUUUUCCUUUCUAAAAUGGAAGAUGAUCCAGAGAAACAUUAAAAAAGUUUAAUAUCUUCAUCAUCUACAAAUAUAUUGAUAAUUUCUACAUCUAGAGUGCUCUGCCAGUAGGGCUAUGAUUUUGAUUCAGCAAUUCUUCAAACCACUGAUGCUGGUUGACCAUUUGACUUUGUUUUUGAAGUAUUUUUUACAUACAGUGUACAGGUUGAAGGCAAUGGUGAUGAAAGUAAAUAUUUAAAAACAGUACCAUAGCUGUCCCAAAUUUAAGAAAAACAAGGUACCACUGGAAACAUUAAAUUUCAUUAGAACACAGAAGAAUGACCAUUUUGUGAUCAGUUUUCUGCAUCUUUAAAAUGCCUGGAAGGUCAUCUUUAAAUGGUACAAUCUGAUAAAAGUUUAAUACUUAUUGUAGACUUAUAUGAAUACUUCUACAUUCAUACAUUUUUGUAUACUUAUACAUUUUCAUAUUCAAUGAAUGCUUAAUUCAAAAAAUAUUUGAGUAUCUGCAGUGUUCCCCAUGCUACAUACUGAGCUUAAACGGUCAAAAAGACACAGUCUUUGACCUCAAAAUACUUUGAUUCUUGUAAGAAAAACGGACAAAGACAAAGAUAAGGCAAUGUGAAAACUUCUACAGUUGGAAUAAUCUUGGAGGUUACAGGAUGUGGACUCACUGAAAGCUUUCUGCUGGACUUGAACUUGAAGCUGCAGUCUGAAGGACAGACGGGUGUUGCUUAGAGAAGGGAAAUUAGGAAGCAAAGACCCCUGGACAGAGUGUAGCAGGCACAGAGGGAGCAUGACACCUCCGGGAGAGAGCCGCAAGCACCUAGGCCCAGAUCCCAGCUUUAGCUUCAUUAGCCCUGUGAACUCUGUAUGUCAGCCUUGACAUAGAAAAAAAGAGGAUACUAAACCUCCAUCUUAAAAGAGACUUGGAAGAAGCUGGGAUUAUAGGCACACCACCACACCUGGACCUAGAAAAGGCUUCUUAGAAGAUAAUCUCCAGGGCUGAACAGGCAGUUGCAUCUGGUCAAGGCCAACUUGAUAGCCACCCAUCCUUCCCCGCGUCACUCUGUUUGUCCCUGCCUCCUGCUCUGCUCUCUGGGAAACUCAGGCUAAGACUUUGCUGCAUUUGUUGAGUAGUCAUUGCAUCAGUUUCUUUCAUAGACAGUUAGUGAAAUGAAGACCAUCGGAAAGGUAACUCAUAAAAACCACACAGUCUGAUGGCUAAGCUGUGAGGAGGGUUUGUUGCUCCUGGUUUGCACACAUCUGUCAUUUGAUGCUAUACACAAAAGGGGUCCCCUUCCACAUCUUUACCUGGUGGUCCUGGAGGUCCCGGUGAUCCUGGAAGGCCUGGUGAACCAGGACAACCUGGGGACCCAGGAGUCCCCAUGGCAUCCUUUCCUGGGAGGCCUCGUUCCCCUUUACUUCCUUUCAAGCCUGGCCAUCCAGGGGCUCCUCUGAGGCCAGGCCUUGAAGAUCCUUGGAGAAAAUAAUCAUUUCUUGUAUUUUACAUUUUUUCCUGAUUAAUACAAAUUUAUUUUUUAAUUGCAAGUGAUAUAAUUUUAUUUAUAAAAAUUGCACAAUGUAGAGGUACAUAACACAUAUAAAAUAAAAAAGUGAAUAUCCUUGCUUUUUUCAUCUGUGGCCUUGUUAAAUAACCACAGUACAGCAAAGUGGAGAACAUUCCAUUCCCACGAGAAAAUUUAUUACAAGAAACUGAAACAGAGUUUGGGAUGCACUGUAGUCUUUUUAUCUAAAAGGAAGUGAGGAAUACUUCCAUAUAUGCUACUUUGUAGAUAUUUUUUUAUUAGAGACUAGAGGAUGCCCCCAGUGCCCAAAAUGAGAAAGAGAGAAAGUUGUUAAGUGGACUUUAUUCCUGCCAGUGUCUUACACAUAAAAGGGUGUGAUGGGGGAUAGACAUCUCCUGGGAAAGGAGCCGUGCCUGGUGGUACAAACCCCACCCUAAUCUUAAAAUGGUGAGGAUGUGAGGAGGGGACAGUCUCAAAUUUCUGUCCCACAAACAGUUUAUUAAGAAGAGAGAUGCCACCAGCAAAGGGCUGAGAAACCAGCUGGGGUAAUAUCUGAUUAUGUCCUAUUAUUUGAACACAAAGACAAAAUCUUCUGAUUGACAUCCGUUUCAGAGCUUUGUAUUUUUUUAAUCAUAUUUUACUUUGGCAUAUUAUAUUUGUACUAAUUUAUGGGGUACAUGUAAGAUUUUGCUACAUGUAUCGAAUGUGUAGUGUAAUGAUCAUGUCAGGGUAUUUUUGAGUAUCUAUGACCCAAGUAUUUAUCAUUUCUGUGUUGAGUACAUUUCAUGUCCUGUCUUCCAGUUAAUUUGAAAUAUACAAUACAUUGUUGUUAACUAUAGUCACCCUACUGUGCUAUCAAACAUUAGACUUUAUUCCUUCUAUCUAACUGUAUGCUUGUACCCAUUAACCUCUUCACCCCUAAGUCCAUCAAAAAAACUCUUAGAACCGAUAAACAAAUUCAGUAAAAUUGCAGGACAUGACAUCAACAUACAAAAACCAGUAGCAUUUUUUAUGCACCGAUAAUGAAAUAGCCAAAAAAGAAAUCAAGAAGGCAAUCCAUUUGCAGUAGCCACAUACAC